GACCCUGGCCCUGGCCCUGGCCCUGACCCUGACCCUGACCCUGAUCCUGGCCCUGGCCCUGGCCCUGGCCCUGGCC
ensembl:miRNA